GACGAACGCUGGCGGCGUGCCUAAUACAUGCAAGUCGUGCGGACUUUGCGGGAGCUUGCUCCCAAGAAGUUAGCGGCGGACGGGUGAGUAACACGUGGGCAACCUGCCUGACAGACUGGGAUAACAUUCGGAAACGAAUGCUAAUACCGGAUAGGCAGCGAAGAGGCAUCUCUUUGCUGAGAAAGGCGCUAUGGCGUCACUGUCAGAUGGGCCCGCGGCGCAUUAGCUAGUUGGUAGGGUAACGGCCUACCAAGGCGACGAUGCGUAGCCGACCUGAGAGGGUGCCCGGCCACACUGGGACUGAGACACGGCCCAGACUCCUACGGGAGGCAGCAGUAGGGAAUCUUCCACAAUGGGCGAAAGCCUGAUGGAGCAACGCCGCGUGAGUGAUGAAGGCCUUCGGGUUGUAAAACUCUGUCUUCUGGGACGAACGGCCAAGAGAGGGAAUGCUCUUGGAUUGACGGUACCAGAGGAGGAAGCCACGGCUAACUACGUGCCAGCCGCCGCCGUAAAAC
rnacentral:rRNA from 1 species